GACGAACGCUGGCGGCGUGCUUAACACAUGCAAGUCGAACGAAGUCGCGCACGGGUGAGUAACGCGUAAACAACCUGCCCUUCAGUGGGGGACAACAGUUGGAAACGAAUGCUAAUACCGCAUACUGAAGGUGGGGAUUGCGUUUGAUUAGCUAGUUGGGGGGGUAACGGGCGACCAAGGGGAUGAUGAGGAGCCGGUCUUGGAGGGUGAACCGCCAAAGUGGGAACGGGGCACGGCCCAGGCUCCUACGGGAGGCAGCAGGGGGGAAUCUUCCGCAAUGGACGAAAGUCUGAAGGAGCAACGCCGCGUGAGGGAUGACGGCCUUCGGGUUGGAAAGCUCUGUUAAUCAGGACGCGGUACCGGAAUAGAAAGCCACGGCUAACUACGUGCCAGCAGCCGCGGUAAUAC
rnacentral:rRNA from 1 species